UACUCCUACGGGAGGCAGCAGUGGGGAAUAUUGGACAAUGGGCGAAAGCCUGAUCCAGCCAUGCCGCGUGUGUGAAGAAGGUCUUCGGAUUGUAAAGCACUUUAAGUUGGGAGGAAGGGCAGUAAGUUAAUACCUUGCUGUUUUGACGUUACCAACAGAAUAAGCACCGGCUAACUUCGUGCCAGCAGCCGCGGUAAUACGAAGGGUGCAAGCGUUAAUCGGAAUUACUGGGCGUAAAGCGCGCGUAGGUGGUUCAGCAAGUUGGAUGUGAAAUCCCCGGGCUCAACCUGGGAACUGCAUCCAAAACUACUGAGCUAGAGUACGGUAGAGGGUGGUGGAAUUUCCUGUGUAGCGGUGAAAUGCGUAGAUAUAGGAAGGAACACCAGUGGCGAAGGCGACCACCUGGACUGAUACUGACACUGAGGUGCGAAAGCGUGGGGAGCAACCAGGAUUAGAUACCCUGGUAGUCCACGCCGUAAACGAUGUCGACUAGCCGUUGGGAUCCUUGAGAUCUUAGUGGCGCAGCUAACGCGAUAAGUCGACCGCCUGGGGAGUACGGCCGCAAGGUUAAAACUCAAAUGAAUUGACGGA
rnacentral:rRNA from 1 species